rnacentral:ncRNA from 1 species
GAUUAAGUGAUUAAAGGGAUUAUUAGGGAUGCCUAGCAGAUAUGUUUAAAAGGAAGUAUAAUACUAAAAGUAUAGUUUAUUAUAUAAAUAUCUAUACAAUCCUAAGGUAAACCGAAUAGUAUAAGACGUUGGGAAGUAAAACAUUACAGUACCAAUAGGAAAGGAAAUCAACAGAGACUCUGGAAGUAAUGGUGAGUGAAACCAGACUAGCCAAGGGGAAAAAAGAAAGAAAAACAUCCAUAGUACUUUGGAAUAAGUAAUAUAAAUAGAAUACGCUUUACCUUUUUCUUUAUAAAAGAAUUAUGUAAAAGAGAAUUCAUUAACCCAUAGAAGGUGAAAGUCCUGUAUGAGAUUGUUUGUUUUUUUCUUUUUUCUCAAUGCUAAUAAAAUCUUUUCUUUUUAACAGCAUUUCUGUAACGAAAAGUAAGUUAUUAGUGUGAGAUUGAUAAAUGAGAAUAGUUUAGUUAUUAGUACCACACUAAUAAGUUAGUGAGUAAUUACUAAGUAAUAUGGGGACGUCAGCCCUGUAUGAAUAAGGGGGUACCAUCCUCCAAGGCUAAGUAUAACAUAUCUAGCGAUAGUGGAGAGUAACGUGAGUGAAAGGUGAAAAGUAAGUAGAUGACUAGUGAAAUAGAACCUGAACUAGUAAUCCUAUAAGCAGUUGUAGUUAGAGAGAAUCUAAUAGCAACGUACCUUUUGCAUAAUGGGUCAGCGAGUUAGUUUAUAGAGCAAGAUGAAAAAUCUAAGCGAAAGCGACUGCAAAAAUAAAAACGGAUCAAAAAUAGUUUUAUGAACUAGACCCGAAGCCAAAUGAUCUUACCAUGGCCAGGCUUUAAGGGGCCGAACGGGUGAAUGUUGCAAAAUUCUCCGAUGAGCUGUGGUAAGGGGUGAAAGGCCAAUCUAAUUUGGAUGAUAGCUGGUAUUCUGCGAAACCUAUUUAGGUAGGGCGUUUAUUUAAAUUAUUGUAUGUACAGCACUGAUCAUCAUACAUUAGCAAAUCUAUACUAGAUAACCUAUGUUAAAUUGGGGGGUCUUACAACUCUACCAUUGAUGGUUAACCUCGGAAGGAUGAUAAUUGAUGAUAAGCGCACAGUCUAUUCAUGAUAAGGUGGAUAGACAAAAGGGAAACAGCCCAGAGCAUGUGUUAAGGUCCCAAAAUAUUGUUAAGUGAAUAUAAGAAAGUUUAACUCCUAAUACAACCAUGAAGUAGGCUUGGAGGUAGCCAUCUUUUAAUGAUAGUGUAACAACUCAGUGGUCUAUUUCUAUUUUUCUAAAAUAGAUGGGAGAGAAGCGUCGAAGAUUUAUCGGGUCUCAGACAAUAUACCUACACCAUGCCUAUUUUUAGAUUUAAUAAAUAUUGAAUAAUUGAUUCUAAAAAUAAGGGUAGCAGAACACUCAGUAUCCGAUUGAAGGUUAGUGUUUCAUUAACUGGACGGUACUGAAGAGAAAAUGCUGACAUGAGUAACGUAGAAAGGAGUUAUAACACUCCUCGCCGAAUACGAGAGGGUUUCAUGGAGAAGUUAAUCUGCCAUGAGUUAAACGGACUCUAAGGGUAAUAGGCGAAUGUCUAUAUCUGAUGAGAUAACACUGAAUAGUCGUAUAACAACGAUCAGGAAAAAUAAGUGUCGAAUAGAAAAAGAGCUAUAAAAUUUCAGAUUUUGUGGGCUACUAUAAACAAUCUAGUUUAAUAAAAAAAAACGAAAUAAAUUCGAAUCCGUACCCUAAACCGACACAGGUUCGUAGGUAGAGAAUACUAAGGCGUAGAGAUAAUGCUUGUGAAGGAACUCGGCAAAUUAUGCCCGUAAGUUAGACGAGAAGGGUAACCAUAAUUACUAUGAGUGUCACAUAAUCGAGGGCUGCGACUGUUUACCAAAAACACAGCAACUUGCUAAGACUAAUAGUACUUGUAUAAGUUGUGAACUCUGCCCAAUGCCAUGUCGUGUAAAGGAGGUGAUAUCGUAAAGAUGGUCACUAACUGAUGCCAUGGUGAAUGGCGGUCUUAACUAUAAGGAUCUGAAAGUAGCGAAAUUCCUUGGCCAUUAAAUGUGGUCCUGCAUGAAUGAGGUAACGUGGCCCUGCUGUCUCCACAAGCAUCUCAGUGAAAUUGAAUUAGCCGUGCAGAUGCGGUUUACCUUCAGUUAGACGGGAGUGCGACAAGAAGUCUAUUAUAGUAAUGAGGUGAAAACCCUCCAGAUAAUCCAUUAUCUGAGCUUAAGUGG